AAAAAAAAAAAAAAAAAAACCUGCAACCAAAUUAUUGUUUGUGUUCAUUCUUCAUACACAGCAGUGAGAAAAAAAGAAAGACACGUCAGUGAUUAAAUCAGCAUUUUAACAAAUUUAUUAUUGUACAUUGUAUCACAGUUUCAAAUGAUUUUGGGUUCUGGGAAGUUACAAAAAGCUAGUCCCUCGGUCAUACAAGCACAAUGUUUUAUUUGUUCACAUGCCACAACUUUUGAUUAUGUAACAAAGCAAAACAUAUUGAUCCUGCAUUUGCUCGUAAGUCCCAUUUUUGCACUUCUUGGUGACAAGCAACAGAUACAUGGGCCACCAAUGAUAAGGGAUUUGAGAGUAUCCACAGAGACUAUGUUGGAAUGAGGAAAGAGAAAUGAAUUCCGGAGUUUGCCUUUGGUUAUCAUCUACUCAGCACAUUUUGGUACACUCAAAAGCAAGCAAAUAGCUACCAAAUAGACUUCAUGACAAUAAAAAUUAACCAACCCUAUAAAGGAUAAAAAAGCUAUAACAGUGGAGAUGCUGCUUUCCCAAUAUAGGUUGUGAACAUUAAAAGAUAGAUAAAAAUAAUAAUAAUAAUAAUA
rnacentral:misc_RNA from 1 species